rnacentral:rRNA from 1 species
GACGAACGCUGGCGGCGUGCCUAAUACAUGCAAGUAGAACGCACAGUUUAUACCGUAGCUUGCUACACCAUAGACUGUGAGUUGCGAACGGGUGAGUAACGCGUAGGUAACCUGCCUGGUAGCGGGGGAUAACUAUUGGAAACGAUAGCUAAUACCGCAUAAUAUUGAUUAUUGCAUGAUAAUUAAUUGAAAGGUGCAAUUGCACCACUACCAGAUGGACCUGCGUUGUAUUAGCUAGUAGGUGAGGUAACGGCUCACCUAGGCGACGAUACAUAGCCGACCUGAGAGGGUGAUCGGCCACACUGGGACUGAGACACGGCCCAGACUCCUACGGGAGGCAGCAGUAGGGAAUCUUCGGCAAUGGACGAAAGUCUGACCGAGCAACGCCGCGGGAGUGAAGAAGGUUGUCGGAUCGUAAAGCUCGGUUGUAAGAGAAGAAAGGGUGUGAGAGUGGAAAGUUCACACUGUGACGGUAUCUUACCAGAAAGGGACGGCUAACUACGUG